rnacentral:misc_RNA from 1 species
GGCCAGCCGGCCAGUGCGAACUAACCUCCUGCCGGCGGUCUGCGACCGGAGGACCCAGCCAACCUGCGGGUGCGCGGCGCCACGCUUUGAAACCUGCGUGCCCCGGCCCGAGCCAUGUGGCCUCGGCUGUUGUUCCUGUACUGUGCGGCGCUGGUAGCCUUCUGCCUGUGUCAGGAGACGCCUCUGCGCCCUCUGCAUCAGGAGUCCCAGCGGAGCUCUACGCGACCACGGCGACAGGUCGCACUGUUCCAGCUGCCUCGGCUGCUCUUUACGUUCUUCAGGGUUCUUAGAGAGACGAGAAAUGAUACAAAUAGCGCCAUACGACAAAUUUCCCAAAUCCUCAACGAUAACAUUCGAGAUGCACCAUCAACAGAGCAGCCUCCCUCUCAGAGCACGCCGCCGGGCGAGGGCGGCGACAACAUGACGACCACCACGGAGUACGUGCUGACGCGCCAGGAGCUGCUGAGGAUCGCGCGUCUCAACAUCCGUGGGCUCGUGCGGCUCUUCAAUCAGGAGGUUGACAUUGCUGUCAACGAUUCGUAUCGCAAUGUGGCACAAACACGUGCCGAGUUCCGCGAGUCUCUCAGGCAAGCUCUGCGGCCAGCUACUACCACGACCACGACGACCACUACGCAAAGGACCACGACCUCAGACAGCAACGAAGUCUAAGGUCGAGCACAGCCAGCGGUUGCUCACAGCCUCAAGCGCGUGGCAGUGUGACUUCUUUCAUGUUGACCUUAUUUUCUCUAAGGAGAAACUGUGCAAUUAACAUUCUUCCUCUAGCAGAACUGCUACUGGCCUAGGACAUGGAGGUGUUUACAGUACCAGCAGUAACAGCCCAAAAGUAUGUAUAAAAAUAAGGAGGAAUAUUGUAACAUAGUUGCUAUGUAAAUAAAUAUAUACUAUUUCUUUUA